ACACCUGGGAACACCUUGAGGACAUCCUGAGGGCACCUGAGUACACCUGGGGACACCUGGUGCAUGCCUGGGGACAUCCUAGAGACACCUGGGAACACCUUGAGGACAUCCUGAGGACACCUGGGCACACCUGGGGACACCUGGGAACACCUUGAGGACAUCCUGGAGACAGCUGGGCACACCUGGAGAUAUGUGGGCACACCUGAGAAUCCCCUGAGGACAUCCUGGGGACACCUGGGACACCUUGAGGACAUCCUGAGGACACCUGGUGACACCUGGGCACACCUGGUGGCACCUGGGGACACCCUGAGGACACCCUGGAGGCACCUGGGCACACCUGGUGGCACCUGGAGACAUCUGGGCAUACCUGGGAUCACCCGAGAGAAACCUGGUAGCACCUGGAGACACCCUGAGGACACCCUGGAGGCACCUGGGCACACCUGGUGGCACCUGGGAACAGCUGGGACACACCUGGAGACACCUGGGGAGAGCUGGUGGCACCUGGGCACACCUGGAGGCACCUGGGGACGGCACCAGGACAGGACAGGAGGUGGCACCGUUGGUUUCGCUGUGUGUCGGUGGCACCUGGUGGCACCUGUCACCUCCCCGUGCCUGUGGGCCAGGUGUGACACACCUGAGGUGGCACCUGGGCACACCUGGUGGCACCUGGGCAGGUGAGGUGGCACCUGGACACACCUGAGGUGGCACCUGGACACACCUGAGGUGACACCUGGGCACACCUGGUGACACCUGGACACACCUGAGGUGACACCUGGGCACACCUGGUGGCACCUGGACACACCUGGUGACACCUGGACAGGUGAGGUGGCACCUGGUGGCACCUGGGCACACCUGGUGGCACCUCCCGCUGUCACCUGUCCUCGCCCAGGGCUGAAGGGCUCUGUCCCCUCCCUCCAAUUUGGGACAAAUUCGGGACAAUUUGGGGAUUUUCCCCAAAUUUUGGGGAUUUUUUCCUCCCCCUUUUUUUAGGAUUUUUUUCCCCCCAGUUUUUUCACAUUUUUCCCCAUCCAAAAAAAAAAAAAAAAUCCCAAAUUUUGGGCACAGCUGAAGCUCAAAUUUCUGGGAUUUCCCACCAAAUUUUUACCAUUUUUUCCCUUCUCGUAAAUCCAAAACUUUCGGAUUUUCCCCCAAAUAAAUCCCAAAUUUCAGGGAUUUUUUUUUCCCCA
rnacentral:lncRNA from 1 species